AAUCAACGCUGGCGGCGUGCCUCAGACAUGCAAGUCGAACGAUUAAAGCUCUCUUCGGAGAGUGCAUAGAGUGGCGCACGGGUGAGUAACACGUAAGUAAUCUACCUUCGAGUGGGGGAAUAACGUCCGGAAACGGACGCUAAUACCGCAUAAUGCAGCGGCAUCGUAAGAUGACAGUUGUUAAAGAUUUAUCGCUUGAAGAGGAGCUUGCGGCAGAUUAGCUAGUUGGUAAGGUAAUGGCUUACCAAGGCUACGAUCUGUAACCGGUCUUAGAGGACGGUCGGUCACACUGACACUGAAUAACGGGUCAGACUCCUACGGGAGGCAGCAGUCGGGAAUUUGGGCAAUGGGCGAAAGCCUGACCCAGCAACGCCGCGUGAAGGAUGAAGUAUUUCGGUAUGUAAACUUCGAAAGAAUAGGAAGAAUAAAU
rnacentral:rRNA from 1 species